AGUAGUUCAAUAGUUUUUUGGUAUUGUCACUUUUUCAAUUUUACUAUAUGUAAUCACUUCUAUAGUAAAGAUGACUGAGAAUAUGAUUAGUGUUGAACAGUGGAAUGCUGUGAUGAAUAUGUUAUCCCGCUUAACAACUCAAGUAAAUAGUUUUCAAGAACAGAUUACAAGAUUAAGUUCUUCUGGGAACGCACCAGCCACCGGAGGUUAUCAGUAUACACAGGAACAAUGUAAUCCUGAAGCUCCUGUCUUCCAACGUAGGCCAGAAAUGUCGUCAAACUCCUGACCGAUUAUUGUUAUGAAUGCUCUGUUGCCACCCAUGCCAAAAUAUGAUGAUAAGACUAAAUGACUAUAAAUGACUUCUUUUCUGAUAUAGAACAUUAUUUUAUAGCACAGGAAAUUUCCCAAGACAGAUGGGUUGAUGUUGCCGCUGGCCAAUUAGAAGGAAAUCCUUCCCAAAUGGUGGUGAACGGAAGGCAGAACAAGC
rnacentral:lncRNA from 1 species